rnacentral:misc_RNA from 1 species
CAAACCUCAAGCCCCUUGUGAGCUUGGCUUUGGGGCAUCUGCUAGACCCUGUCUAGCAGGCCCUGAAAAUCGACGGCGGACCUGUUAGGCCUCUGAGCGCAGUAAUUUUUUCUCGCUUUUGGGAUCUCUUCAGGCUCUCUUGCCUCACCAAUACUUUUUUAA